UUCUUGGACCAGCCCACAUCCCUGGAGCUCCCACAGUUGACAAACACGCUGCCAAUCAUGCCGAUAGAGAAAUGUGGUGGUUCCCUGAGUGGCCACGAGGGGGAGCGCGAACACCAUUCACAGAAAAAUGGCAGUUUCUGUGUGCAGCAACGGCCAGCAGAGGGCGCGCGCUCUACUGGUCAAAGUCCAGAGGACAGCACAGGUUCUUGGAGCAGCUUCCCCAAGGGACCUGCUCUGCCCUUCCAGAGCUAUCAGCAGGUGUGGCAGGGCUUUGACCCAACUUGACGCCUCUUGAGCUGUGAGAAGCUGCCUACUGACGCCUAUCUCUGAAAAGAGAGCUCUGUGUGACCUCUCAGGGACAGAUGUCACUGGACCUCACAGACCUUUGCAUUUGGGACUGUCUCCUCUAUACUUUGCUUUCUCUGGCAAUACCCAGACAGGAUUAUCUCAGUGUCCGAUUGACUGAGGGCUUCCAAGAUUCUAAAGCACAGACGAUGUGAUGCAAGAGACGUUUUCUCUCAACAGAGUUGUGUCUGGAGUGAAGUCAAUUCGGAGGCACUAGGACACGAAUGUCCCAAACACGCAAUGCCAGGACCUUCCAGGAAUCAACCAGGGAUCUGCCUGCCCAGUCAUGUGGGAACCCCACCUUGGAGAUCUCCAUGAACUUUUCCUACUUGUUGAAAGCACCACGUCACUAUGACAAGUUACAGAAAAGGACUGGAUCAUUUUGCAUCAGAAAAAGUUGACGUCAUCCUCAUUCACUUCUUCACUUGAUAGCCUACACAGAUGUGAAUAUUGAAUGGGAGGACUGUAUCUUCAGAUAUUUUCCAUCUAGAUGUCUAGGCAGUUCAAGAGUACACUAAAGAGAACCUCAACUUCCUUUUCAGUUUGACCAUAGCACUUAAUUUUUCUCACACAAGAUAAAUUGCUGAGACUUGAUCUCACAAGACAGAGAACAAUCAAAAUGCCUUGUUCACUGAGAUUUGCAUACAGCAAAAUCUUCCAGAAAUGAAAAAAGAUGAAUCCAAUUAGAGGUGUGAACACAAGGCAAAUAACAAGAACAUUUCUGGAACUCUUUUGCCGGCCCCUGGAGAAAUCCUGGAAUAAGAAGCUUCACAAGAAUUUCUUGUGCAGAUCAAGGAAGUGAACUCGGAAGGGUCUCACCAAGUCAGUGGAUUUUUCUUUCACACACAUUCUUACGUCAGAUACAAAAUGACCUGGUCACACAGACUAGGGAUUUCAAAAAAAUAGACUUUAAACAUACCAAGGGAUCAGCUGACAUGAAUAUAAGGCCAAAUCAGUAGUACAUUCUACAAACCAGGCCUGCUUGG